CAAGUCGAACGAUGAAGCCCUUCGGGGUGGAUUAGUGGCGAACGGGUGAGUAACACGUGGGCAAUCUGCCCUUCACUCUGGGACAAGCCCUGGAAACGGGGUCUAAUACCGGAUAACACUUCGUCCCGCAUGGGACGGGGUUAAAAGCUCCGGCGGUGAAGGAUGAGCCCGCGGCCUAUCAGCUUGUUGGUGGGGUGAUGGCCUACCAAGGCGACGACGGGUAGCCGGCCUGAGAGGGCGACCGGCCACACUGGGACUGAGACACGGCCCAGACUCCUACGGGAGGCAGCAGUGGGGAAUAUUGCACAAUGGGCGAAAGCCUGAUGCAGCGACGCCGCGUGAGGGAUGACGGCCUUCGGGUUGUAAACCUCUUUCAGCAGGGAAGAAGCGAGAGUGACGGUACCUGCAGAAGAAGCGCCGGCUAACUACGUGCCAGCAGCCGCGGUAAUACGUAGGGCGCAAGCGUUGUCCGGAAUUAUUGGGCGUAAAGAGCUCGUAGGCGGCUUGUCACGUCGGAUGUGAAAGCCCGGGGCUUAACCCCGGGUCUGCAUUCGAUACGGGCUAGCUAGAGUGUGGUAGGGGAGAUCGGAAUUCCUGGUGUAGCGGUGAAAUGCGCAGAUAUCAGGAGGAACACCGGUGGCGAAGGCGGAUCUCUGGGCCAUUACUGACGCUGAGGAG
rnacentral:rRNA from 1 species